GCUUCAUCACCUGUAGUGUCCCUUUCAAUUGCUGAAUCUCCAGUUCUAACUUUUGCUUAGCAUCCAGCUUCUUUUCCAAUUGAAGUAUUUUAUUGAGUGCGGCCUCUUUCUCUAGCUUUUGUUCCUCAAUAAGCUUCAAUACAUCUUGAUCAGCUUUUUUCUGCUCCAUUGCAGCCAAUUCAAGUGAGUUGUUCUUCAUUGCAUUCUUUUGUUUCUCCUCAG
rnacentral:misc_RNA from 1 species